rnacentral:lncRNA from 1 species
AGAAGAGCCAUGCUAGGAGCCCUACUCACAAGUAUAGCAGGAACAAAUGUGGAGGAGAAAAUUUACCGACUUAGUUUAUUUAAAACUAAUCAGACAAGAAGGAUUUCAGAAAAAUUAUAAUUCCAUCAACUAAAGACAUUUCACCCAAUGGAUAUAAUGUAAAAAGAAAAAAACACACGGACACGCUGGCUCAAAAGCAUGCAUCCAAUUGCUGAGAUCCCACUUAUAAAUCGAAUUGGGUCGCUUAAUAACUAGUUUCGAACCCAUCUACUAUCUAUGAUGAAGUGCACCACUUAUGACACAUUUCAUGCACAUGGUAAACCAAGACUGUAUGAUAGACCGUAUGAUCCCAUGAUCAUCUUGAAAACACAUUCACAAUCACCGUCGGCGCAAAUAUCCCACGGCAACAAUGAUGUUACACAAAACAUACUUGUCUAAUGCCUUCAAAAAAACCCCUGUCAUGAAUCAUCGAGAAGGCAAUUGCAGAUUCAUCAUUCCUUGACCAAAAACUUGGUGGUCCAUUUAAUUUUUCAAUUUAAUUCAAGAAGCCAGCUAGUGUGGCCCUUGCCAACUAUUUAUUACCUAAUGAUGUACUCCCCCACAAUCACACGUCCCUUCUUUUCUUGGAACAGCAAAUGCUACUCAAGCAUAACAGUGAUAAUGCUAGCUUUCUAUGUCUUGUAUAUUAUCAAAAUCUUCCUUAAGUUAGACUUAGGGAGGGGUCA